rnacentral:lncRNA from 1 species
CUUUCUUCAAAGGGACAAACCAGAGUUUAAUGGUGGAAACCUGGGGCCCUUUGUGUGACCCUAGGUGGCAUCAAAGAAGGUGGCACCAGCUGGAUCUGCCCACAGACGCCUUCGAAGGUCCCAGGGGAUCUAUCUGAGAUUUUGGCCACUACCUGAAGUAUGGAGUUUUGCCAGCAAUAAGGAGAAAGCCUUGUAGGAGGCAAAGGGCACCCACUGGGACCUGGACGAUCAUGGGGAUUCGACAUGCUUUUCUGAAGGCACCAGGCAUGCGGGCUGUACUGAAGCAUACAAGCAGGUAAACACUAAUACGCAUAAAGUAGAAAUAUAUUUAUUGGUGUGGGUGUGGGUCACAGCACGUGUGGGGAAGUCAGAAGCUAACCACGCAGCUGGUCAUCUCCUUCCUGCUUUCCAUGGCUCCUGGGGACUGAAUUCAGAUUGCUGCCCCUGUGUAGCAAUCACUUUUAGCUACCGAGCGAGCCCUCUAGCCGCCUGCAUCGUUCACGUUUCUAAAAGAUAGAGACAUCUCUUAUGGCAUAUGCACACAUGAGAACGACUUAUCUUUUUCCACUCACACCAGGAACUUACAUGGUAAGUAAGGUAGUUAUCUUGGUAGGUAAAUGAUGGAUCCUAGAACCAAGAAAAUAGAACAGGGCACAUCACCAAGAUGAACUCAAUUACCAGCAUGAUUCCCCUAUGACUUCAUGCACUGCCUUUUCUAUCUCUGGCUAUGGUAUAGGCUUUUCAGUCAGGACAAUAGGUUGCCCUAGGAUGAGCCACAAUAAUUCAUAAUCCCGGACAGCUGGCCACUCCCAUAGAGUGUAGCUGAACAACGAGGCUAGCUUUCAUACAAAUCAAAACAGCAGUAGCCAUUGCUCUGAACAUUCUAAGAGGAAAGGGGAGAGUAGAAGAGGAUGUUUAAUGAGCACCUACUAGUGCCAGCCUUGUGUAUCAGGAUUCAAGACCCCAGAUGGAAAAGGGAGUCUAGGGCUGGUGAGAUGGCUCAGAAGGUGAAAGCACUGACUGCUCUUCCAAAGGUCCUGAGUUCAAAUCCCAGCAACCACAUGGUGGCUCACAACCACCCGUAAUGAGAUCUGACGCCCUCUUCUGGUGCGUCUGAAGUCAGCUAUAGUGUACUUAUGUAGAAUAAUAAAUCUUUGGGCUGGAGCAAGUGGAGUUGACCGGAAUGAGCAGGGCCGAUUGGAGUGAGCAGGGUUGACUGGAGAGAGCAGAGGUCCUAAAAAUUCAAUUCCCAACAACCACAUGAAGGUUCACAACCAUCUGUACAACUACAGUGUUGUGUACUCACGUACAUAAAAUAAAUAAACAAAUCUUUAAAAAUAAAAUGAGAGUCUAAAACCUGGGUGUGGAGAGGUACAGCUGUAAUCCCAGCAUUGAGACAGGAGGACUGCAAUGGGCUUUGGGUCAGCCUGAGCUACACAAUGAGUUCCAAGCUAGCUAGGCCUACAUAGCAAAAUCCUGUCUCAAAAGACCAAGGAGAGAAGGAGAGGAAGAAGAGGAAAUGAAAUAAAAUAAAAUAAAAUAAAAUAAAAUAAAGGAGAAACGGGGGAAACUGAGCAUGGUGGUCACAGUUGCAUUCUCAGAUCAGGGGAACACUUGAGCCUAGGAAAUCAGGCCAGCCUGGGCAACACAGGGGGGCCGAGCAUGUGCCUGUGGGGAGGGGAAGGACACUGUGACCUUGUCCCAAAAAAAUGAGUGGGGUGGUAGUAGUAGGUUUCACAACUCUGGACUCAGGGAGAGAGGGUUUCCAACUGAACAAGAGAAAGCGACCCAGCUUGUAUCUGUUUGGUU